rnacentral:rRNA from 1 species
ACCUUGCGGAGGGAUCAUUACCGAGUUUACAACUCCCAAACCCAAUGUGAACGUUACCAAACUGUUGCCUCGGCGGGAUCUCUGCCCCGGGUGCGUCGCAGCCCCGGACCAAGGCGCCCGCCGGAGGACCAACCAAAACUCUUAUUGUAUACCCCCUCGCGGGUUUUUUUAUAAUCUGAGCCUUCUCGGCGCCUCUCGUAGGCGUUUCGAAAAUGAAUCAAAACUUUCAACAACGGAUCUCUUGGUUCUGGCAUCGAUGAAGAACGCAGCGAAAUGCGAUAAGUAAUGUGAAUUGCAGAAUUCAGUGAAUCAUCGAAUCUUUGAACGCACAUUGCGCCCGCCAGUAUUCUGGCGGGCAUGCCUGUCCGAGCGUCAUUUCAACCCUCGAACCCCUCCGGGGGGUCGGCGUUGGGGAUCGGCCCUGCCUUGGCGGUGGCCGUCUCCGAAAUACAGUGGCGGUCUCGCCGCAGCCUCUCCUGCGCAGUAGUUUGCACACUCGCAUCGGGAGCGCGGCGCGUCCACAGCCGUUAAACACCCAACUUCUGAAAUGUUGACCUCGGAUCAGGUAGGAAUACCCGCUGAACUUAAGCAUAUCAA